rnacentral:rRNA from 1 species
UACGGAGGGGGCUAGCGUUAUUCGGAAUUACUGGGCGUAAAGCGCACGUAGGCGGACUGGAAAGUUGGGGGUGAAAGCCCAGGGCUCAACCCUGGAACUGCCUUCAAAACUCCCAGUCUUGAGGUCGAGAGAGGUGAGUGGAAUUCCGAGUGUAGAGGUGAAAUUCGUAGAUAUUCGGAAGAACACCAGUGGCGAAGGCGACUCGCUGGACAGACAUUGACGCUGAGGUGCGAAAGCGUGGGGAGCAAACAGGG